rnacentral:snoRNA from 1 species
AAGACUAUACUUUCAGGGAUCAUUUCUAUAGUUUGUUACAAGUCCUUUCUACUCUCAGUUGGGAAGUGGAAGUCAGAGAUGAUACCCUUUACCGAGGGUCCCAGCCUCUGU